GACGAACGCUGGCGACGUGCUUAACACAUGCAAGUCGAACGAAGAGCGACGGAAGCUUGCUUCUAUCAAUCUUAGUGGCGCACGGGUGAGUAACGCGUAAUCAACCUGCCCUUCAGAGGGGGACAACAGUUGGAAACGACUGCUAAUACCGCAUACGAUCUAAUCUCGGCAUCGAGGAUGGAUGAAAGGUGGCCUCUACAUGUAAGCUAUCACUGAAGGAGGGGAUUGCGUCUGAUUAGCUAGUUGGAGGGGUAACGGACCACCAAGGCGAUGAUCAGUAGCCGGUCUGAGAGGAUGAACGGCCACAUUGGGACUGAGACACGGCCCAGACUCCUACGGGAGGCAGCAGUGGGGAAUCUUCCGCAAUGGACGAAAGUCUGACGGAGCAACGCCGCGUGAGUGAUGACGGCCUUCGGGUUGUAAAGCUCUGUUAAUCGGGACGAAAGGCCUUCUUGCGAAUAGUGAGAAGGAUUGACGGUACCGGAAUAGAAAGCCACGGCUAACUACGUG
rnacentral:rRNA from 1 species